AUUUAUUUUUAUAGAAAAUAGAAAAUUUUGUGUUCUUCACUUCUUGUUAGCCUUUUGGGGGGGUAAUCAAUUUGGCUGAAUUUUUUUUAAUUUUAUCUAUUCAUUUAUUUUAGACAGUGAUAAUGCUUUGAGCCUCAAAGCUACUUGUAAUAUUCAGAGUCAUAUUUGUAUUCAUUCUGUUGUUAUAUUAAAUACAUGUUUGUUUCAUUGCAAAAUCUAACAAUCCUGCUCUAUGACUCCUUUUUAUUUACUAUAAACUAGAGUUUGGAAGGAUAAUUAUCCAGCACUGACUUCCUUCAUCAGUCCUGUGUCAUCACAACAAACACUGAAUGGAGGAGCAAACCGUCCCGUCCUGUGAUCUUGAGAUGGGAUGUGUUCCCUUUGCAUCUACCGCCCUCCCAUUAGUUUUCCCCACCCCUUUCAGUUCCUCCUAUAAACUUUGCAGCGUGUCCUGAGAGCCUGAGUGUCUACAUCCAACACUUUCCUGCUGUUUCACACUUUACCUUAUAUUUGAAAGGACUGCUUCCUCCUUCAGCUGCCAUUUUACAGCACCACAAGAACACAAUAGCGCCACCAUCUCCGUCCUUCCAUUCCUCUCACUGCCACUAGCCUGCAGUCUUGAUCAGGAUGGAGAGGGUGCAGCAUGUGACACGCUCAGCCAUUCGGAGGGCAUCCAACAUCGAAGUGAACCCGCAGACCAAACGCAACCUACAAGAUCUCAUCAUCAACUUCUCCCUCAUCCUCAUCUGCCUGCUGCUCAUCUACAUCAUCGUCUUGCUCAUGUGACACCAAACGAUGACAACCGGCCAAUCACAAGAUGCACUGCACAAGAUCUUGGACAAUUUUUGGGAAUUGAAAAUCUCCUACUAAUGAUGCAACACAUGUUAAUUUCCUGAAAUUAUAUGAGGGCGGCAGAGAUUUUUCUCUAUUUAUGUUUGCUGCGUUCUUCUCAUAACAAUAAGCAUAUUUUUGACCUUUGAAUGAGUACAAGUCUCAUUUUGUUCAUAUAUAUUUUGUAUAUAAAACAUACAAAAUUAUAUGGUAGGUAAAUUCAGAUAUGUUUUAUAUAUGAAUGUAGACCUCACGGGGGGAAGCAGUCAUCUGAACUGGUGUAGUUCACAAAAACAUGAAGAUUUAACAUCAAAAUGGCUGUAAUUUCUGGCAAAAGUGUAGCUCCCAAGAGCAAUCAGCAAUUCCUUCCAAGUGCUAAGUCAUUUACGUACAUAUUCCCCCCCAAAAUAUCGUGAUUGUUGUGUUGAAAUGCAAAAUUUAUAGGUCAGUCCCAGAAAUCAGAAAUCAUAUAUUAUUCACAGAGGAACAGAGCAUGUUGGCACUGAGGUAAAUUAUGCUUGCAUGCUUAACAUAUUGUUUGUUUACACUUCCAGUGAACAUGAUCUGAGAGAGAAAGGGUUAUUAAAUGGGUAAUUUAAGGAUGUUGCUAAAUGUGGCCAACCAAUAAAGAGAAUGUUUGUUUUAAA